AUUCCAGCUCCAAUAGCGUAUAUUAAUGUUGUUGCAGUUAAAAAGCUCGUAGUUGGAUUUCUGGUUGGACCGCGAUGCCGGACUCGCAAGGGUUCGUGAUUGUUGUGGUUUCCUUCCAUCCUCAGGUUUGCGCGUGCUGGCCUUAACUGGUCGGUGGGUGUGGUCCUGUCGUUUACUGUGAACAAAUUAGAGUGUUCAAAGCAAGGUGUACUUGAAUACAUUAGCAUGGAAUAAUAAGAUAGGACUUUGGUGGUUCUUUUUGAUAUUUUGUUGGUUUGCACGCCAAAGUAAUGAUUGAUAGGGAUAGUUGGGGGUGCUAGUAUUUUGCGGCCAGAGGUGAAAUUCUGUGAUUCGCGAAAGACUGACUUAUGCGAAAGCAUUCACCAAGGAUGUUUUCAUCA
rnacentral:rRNA from 1 species